rnacentral:lncRNA from 13 species
UUUUCCAACGACGGCGACGGCGACGGCGACGGCGACGGCGACGGCGACGAGGCAGCGCAACCGGCGCGGCGGAACGGAGACGAGUCUCUCGGCGAUUCGAUGAAACGUUUAUGGUCGCCCGCACGUGGGACUAUACACAGAUCUGGCUAAAUUUUUAGAUGCUUCAGCAAACCUGUUCUACCACCACGCGUGUAACACGUCAUUUACUUUUGAUGCCGGAUUUAUCACUCGAAAUUCGAAAAGGGAUUGAAAGAGGGGCUCAAAGGAUAAUAUCAUUAACGAUUUUGGAGUCGUGUCGCCGAAGAAAGCGGAGAUUUUCGAUGGAAAUCCCGUGAAAAACGCGGCGCUGUUUUCGGGAGUCAUGUCGCUGAAUAAUGCAUGGAUCGAGUUCUCUCGGUUGCGCGAGGCGCAGUCGUAAUGAACUUUACAGUGAAUCGUAAAUCGCAAAGAAAACCAGCGUCCUUUUUCUUCCUACGGCCGGUUGACAGGCCGAGCUGUGGUCGUUUACCACGUAUGCACGCGACAUGUGUGGCGCGUGUGCAUGAGAGAAACACAAACCUCUCGGAACCGGUUUUCCGAAGCUCGUUCCCGAGCUGCCGUAAGCUUUACAGCCGAAAGCAAGUCUCGAAUCUUGCACCGCCUUCUACGACGCACUCGAAAAGCUCGACGCUUGGAUGCUAUCGACGUGGAUGCACUUUUUACGCUGUUCGACGACGGGAAAUCGAAUUCUCAUUCGAUUGAUUGAGCAUGAAAAAAAUAUUCGAGACGGAGAUAAUCCAUUUUUUAUUAUUAUUAGAAUCGGAUUAAAAAUAAAUUUUUUUUCAGGAUCGACUUACGUUGUAAUUAUCUUCAACGGACGAGAGAAAAAAAUUCAUCAGAGCGUGAAUACCGAACAUACAUAAUCGUUCUUGUUGCCGUAAAAUAUGUAAACAUUCCUAUUCGCACAUUAAAGAUUAACAUAACAUUUAAAUAUAAAAUAAAUAAUUUAUUGAUAGUGCGGUUUAAAUGAAGAAAAGGGAGGAAUGGAUCUGAUAUGCAAAUUAAAAUAUUUAUUCGACAUUGAACGAGAAAACUAAAUAAAUAUAAAUGGAGCUGCGUCAAUCGAUAUGUCACUCCACAUAACACGCGGGCUAUUAUUUAUCUACAGUCAAUCGAUCAAAAACAAUUCUCAAUUCGGAUACGUCGUAGUUAUAUUAGUUGGGACAGAGGAGGGCGAUAGAAGGAGUGGGAAGAUGAAAAAUAGAUUCGAUGUCGCACGAUAUUUAUGAGACGAUUGGCUAUAGCUUUAGCGAAAUUAUGUAGUAAAAUUUGAAUAAACGUUUGCGGAAUGAAAAAAACGAUUUACUUGCAAGCUCGCGUUUCUCUCUCUCUCUCUCUCUCUCUCUCUCUCUCUCUCUCUGCGCCAAUUGUCAGCGAGCGCGUGUGAAUAACUCUACGUGCCCGAUUAUGUGUAAUUAUUGGUAAAAUAAUUUUACGUGCGAGUAUCCACUUCGCCAGAAUUGACAAUGUUCUCUUCAGCGGUACAUAUGAAUUGCGAGAUGAUGAAAUAUGAGAAAAUUAAACGGUGAUAGCGGAAUCAACAAGUGAUACGAUUAUACAUAGUCGCGUCUGGAAAAAAAUUAACUCUCCAGAAUAAUCAGCUUUUCCUUCGCGAUGAGAAUUUAAAAUCGCGUAUUAAAAUAAUAGUAUUUAAGUAUUGACCGGAGAAUGUGAAAAAAGGAAUUAAAUGUUCAAUAAUUUGUCAAAUAAAAUUUAUCAAGACCGCAUAGAUUCAUAUUAUUUAUAGAAAAUUAGUAAUCGUAAAUUAUACAUAAGGCUACUUCUUGCGGUUGAGUUGCAUCGUGCCGUUUCUUUUGCCUAAGAUACGAUGCAUGCAGCAAAUUAAAUAAUUUAAAUAUACCUAAAAUUGUAUAUCAAUCUAAAAGAAGAUGGUUAUUUUAUUUCGUAAUUUUUAGAGCGCCUGUUUUUUUCUCGAUUACAGUACAAGCACGUACGAUCGAUCGUUAUCGAUCUCUCACUCCUGUUCGCCAAAAUCGUUCGAAAUUACAUUGAGAUCGAUAGAGUGGCCGGAAGGGCGGUAGCACGUUUUAACGACGUCGCGUUCGUUUUAACUGGUUUAUGCGACGUAUACACGACAGGCACGUAACCCGUGGCCCGCAAUAAUGCUGGCCGUGCCGAAUGUGAUCAUUAUGCCAGUAUGUUUCGCGAUCUCGUGCGCGCGUGCGUUCGCGCGCGUACCCUUGACGUCAACGGCUCUAUUUUCGGUCGUCGUCGGCGUACAUUUAACGCCGGGCGUACAUCGUAAAAUCUACGAUUGAACACGAGCGGGCUGUGUGUUUAUAACUAAAUAUAUUGCACCUCGCAAAGUUUCCGCCGUCAUUAGAGAACUCUUUAGAUUAAUGAUUCGCUACGUUAAAGAGAAUUAAUUCAUUCACGAGAUUCGCAUGUAAUUAAAAUUUUAAAUUACAAAAUAAAGAAAAUUAUUUGGAAA